rnacentral:rRNA from 1 species
AUUGAACGCUGGCGGCAUGCUUUACACAUGCAAGUCGAACGGUAACAGGCCGCAAGGUGCUGACGAGUGGCGAACGGGUGAGUAAUGCAUCGGAACGUGCCCAGUCGUGGGGGAUAACGCAGCGAAAGCUGUGCUAAUACCGCAUACGAUCUAUGGAUGAAAGCGGGGGGCAGUAAGGCCUCGCGCGAUUGGAGCGGCCGAUGUCAGAGUAGGUAGUUGGUGGGGUAAAGGCCCACCAAGGCAACGAUCUGGAGCGGGUGUGAGAGGGCGACCAGCCAGACUGGGACUGAGGCACGGCCCAGACUCCAACGGGAGGCAGCAGUGGUGAAUUUUGGACAAUGGGCGAAAGCCUGAUCCAGCAAUGCCGCGUGCAGGAAGAAGGCCUUCGGGUUGUAAACUGCUUUUGUACGGAACGAAACGGUCUGGGUUAAUACCCUGGGCUAAUGACGGUACCGGAACAAGAAGCACCGGCUAACUACGUGCCAGCCGCCGCAGUAACAC